rnacentral:rRNA from 1 species
UACGAAGGGGGCUAGCGUUGUUCGGAAUUACUGGGCGUAAAGCGCGCGCAGGCGGCUAUCCAAGUCAGUGGUGAAAGCCCGGAGCUCAACUCCGGAACUGCCAUUGAAACUGUUUAGCUUGAGGACGAGAGAGGUGAGUGGAAUUCCCAGUGUAGAGGUGAAAUUCGUAGAUAUUGGGAAGAAAACCGGUGGCGAAGGCGGCGACCUGGGCCUUUUACUGACGCUGAGGCGCGAAAGCGUGGGGAGCAAACAGG